GUCUAUGGCCAUGCCACCCUGAACAUGGCCAAUCUUGUCUGAUAUCGGAAGCUAAGCAGGGUUGGGCCUGGUUAGUAUUUGGAUGGGAGAAAAAACAAAUCAUAGUUGCUAUAAGUG
ensembl:rRNA 5S_rRNA 5S ribosomal RNA